AUUUGUCUGGUUAAUUCCGAUAACGAACGAGACCUUAACCUGCUAACUAGAUUCAUUAGUAUUACUCUUGCAAUCUUCUUAGAGGGACUAUGUAAAACAAAUACAUGGAAGUUUGAGGCAAUAACAGGUCAGUGAUGCCCUUAUAUGUCCUGGGCUGCACGCGUGCUACACUGAUGCAUACAACAAGUGCCUAACCAGACAUGGUAUGGCAAUCUCGAAUAUGCAUCGUGAUGGGGAUAGAUCUUUGCAAUUAUAGAUCUUGAACGAGGAAUUCCUAGUAAGUGCAAGUCAUCAUCUUGCAUUGAUUAUGUCCCUGCCCUUUGUACACACCGCCCGUCGCUCCUACCGAUACCGGGUGAUCCGGUGAACCUUUUGGACUCUUUACUGGGAAAGAUAAGUAAACCAUAUCACCUAGAGGAAGGAGAAGUCGUAACAAGGUUUCCGUAGGUGAACCUGCRGAAGGAUCA
rnacentral:rRNA from 1 species